rnacentral:lncRNA from 10 species
CUGGGAUUACAGGCGUGAGCCACCGCGCCCGGCCUGUUUCUUUACUGAUUUGUCUCCCACAUUGGAAUGUUAGAUCUUUGAAGGAACUGAUCUACCGAGCUGCCCCAGUAACUUUAGCACCUAAAAUAGUGCAUAACACAGAGUACGCCUUCAGAAAACAUGAGUGACGAAUAAGUGGGAGAUGAGACAGACGAGGCCACGGGAGUCUUAGGGGCCUGUCUUAAAGCCGUUUUGAGGUGUCCCUUGCAGAGUCAGGGGCAACGGCUAACGCAAGGUACCC